UCGAUGCGGCAUCCAAACUCAG
rnacentral:siRNA from 1 species